CUAGCUGGUCUGAGAGGAUGACCAGCCACACUGGAACUGAGACACGGUCCAGACUCCUACGGGAGGCAGCAGUGGGGAAUAUUGCACAAUGGGCGCAAGCCUGAUGCAGCCAUGCCGCGUGUAUGAAGAAGGCCUUCGGGUUGUAAAGUACUUUCAGCGGGGAGGAAGGGAGUAAAGUUAAUACCUUUGCUCAUUGACGUUACCCGCAGAAGAAGCACCGGCUAACUCCGUGCCAGCAGCCGCGGUAAUACGGAGGGUGCAAGCGUUAAUCGGAAUUACUGGGCGUAAAGCGCACGCAGGCGGUUUGUUAAGUCAGAUGUGAAAUCCCCGGGCUCAACCUGGGAACUGCAUCUGAUACUGGCAAGCUUGAGUCUCGUAGAGGGGGGUAGAAUUCCAGGUGUAGCGGUGAAAU
rnacentral:rRNA from 1 species